UACAGAGGUCUCAAGCGUUGUUCGGAUUCAUUGGGCGUAAAGGGUGUGUAGGUGGCGCGCUAAGUCGGGUGUGAAAUUUCGGAGCUUAACUCCGAAACUGCAUUCGAUACUGGCGUGCUUGAGGACUGGAGAGGAGACUGGAAUUUAUGGUGUAGCAGUGAAAUGCGUAGAUAUCGUAAGGAAGACCAGUGGCGAAAGCGACUUUCUGGGGCAUUCCUGACGCUGAGGUUCGAAAGCUCGGGGAGCAAACAGG
rnacentral:rRNA from 1 species